UUCGGGGGACAAAGUGACAGGUGGUGCAUGGUUGUCGUCAGCUCGUGUCGUGAGAUGUUGGGUUAAGUCCCGCAACGAGCGCAACCCUUAAGCUUAGUUGCCAGCAUUAAGUUGGGCACUCUAAGUUGACUGCCGGUGACAAACCGGAGGAAGGUGGGGAUGACGUCAAAUCAUCAUGCCCCUUAUGAUUUGGGCUACACACGUGCUACAAUGGACAAUACAAAGGGCAGCUAAACCGCGAGGUCAUGCAAAUCCCAUAAAGUUGUUCUCAGUUCGGAUUGUAGUCUGCAACUCGACUACAUGAAGCUGGAAUCGCUAGUAAUCGUAGAUCAGCAUGCUACGGUGAAUACGUUCCCGGGUCUUGUACACACCGCCCGUCACACCACGAGAGUUUGUAACACCCGAAGCCGGUGGAGUAACCAUUUAUGGAGCUAGCCGUCGAAGGUGGGACAAAUGAUUGGGGUGAAGUCGUAACGAGGUAGCCGUAUCGGAAGGUGCGGCU
rnacentral:rRNA from 1 species